AGUGAAAUAGAACCUGAAACCGUGUGCUUACAAGUAGUCAGAGCCCGUUAAUGGGUGAUGGCGUGCCUUUUGUAGAAUGAACCGGCGAGUUACGAUUUGAUGCAAGGUUAAGCAGUAAAUGUGGAGCCGUAGCGAAAGCGAGUCUGAAUAGGGCGUUUAGUAUUUGGUCGUAGACCCGAAACCAGGUGAUCUACCCUUGGUCAGGUUGAAGUUCAGGUAACACUGAAUGGAGGACCGAACCGACUUACGUUGAAAAGUGAGCGGAUGAACUGAGGGUAGCGGAGAAAUUCCAAUCGAACCUGGAGAUAGCUGGUUCUCUCCGAAAUAGCUUUAGGGCUAGCCUCAAGUGAUGAUUAUUGGAGGUAGAGCACUGUUUGGACGAGGGGCCCCUCUCGGGUUACCGAAUUCAGACAAACUCCGAAUGCCAAUUAAUUUAACUUGGGAGUCAGAACAUGGGUGAUAAGGUCCGUGUUCGAAAGGGAAACAGCCCAGACCACCAGCUAAGGUCCCAAAAUAUAUGUUAAGUGGAAAAGGAUGUGGCGUUGCCCAGACAACUAGGAUGUUGGCUUAGAAGCAGCCAUCAUUUAAAGAGUGCGUAAUAGCUCACUAGUCGAGUGACACUGCGCCGAAAAUGUACCGGGGCUAAACAUAUUACCGAAGCUGUGGAUUGUCCUUUGGACAAUGGUAGGAGAGCGUUCUAAGGGCGUUGAAGCAUGAUCGUAAGGACAUGUGGAGCGCUUAGAAGUGAGAAUGCCGGUGUGAGUAGCGAAAGACGGGUGAGAAUCCCGUCCACCGAUUGACUAAGGUUUCCAGAGGAAGGCUCGUCCGCUCUGGGUUAGUCGGGUCCUAAGCUGAGGCCGACAGGCGUAGGCGAUGGAUAACAGGUUGAUAUUCCUGUACCACCUAUAAUCGUUUUAAUCGAUGGGGGGACGCAGUAGGAUAGGCGAAGCGUGCGAUUGGAUUGCACGUCUAAGCAGUAAGGCUGAGUAUUAGGCAAAUCCGGUACUCAUUAAGGCUGAGCUGUGAUGGGGAGAAGACAUUGUGUCUUCGAGUCGUUGAUUUCACACUGCCGAGAAAAGCCUCUAGAUAGAAAAUAGGUGCCCGUACCGCAAACCGACACAGGUAGUCAAGAUGAGAAUUCUAAGGUGAGCGAGCGAACUCUCGUUAAGGAACUCGGCAAAAUGACCCCGUAACUUCGGGAGAAGGGGUGCUCUUUAGGGUUAACGCCCAGAAGAGCCGCAGUGAAUAGGCCCAAGCGACUGUUUAUCAAAAACACAGGUCUCUGCUAAACCGUAAGGUGAUGUAUAGGGGCUGACGCCUGCCCGGUGCUGGAAGGUUAAGAGGAGUGGUUAGCUUCUGCGAAGCUACGAAUCGAAGCCCCAGUAAACGGCGGCCGUAACUAUAACGGUCCUAAGGUAGCGAAAUUCCUUGUCGGGU
rnacentral:rRNA from 1 species